rnacentral:lncRNA from 1 species
AACUCAUUCUUCUAUUGAAUUGCUUUGCGGGAGACUGUAAAUUACUCUACAAUAUCAUUUACAAACCAAAACGUUGAGUAUUAUAUUGACAAGAAGUCCUAAAAAUGUGUGUGUCUUAUACGUAACAUCAAUAUACUGUUCCUCGUCCUCCAAUACCUCUUUCACCUCUUUCUUGGUAUCAGACCGGACAUGCGAUUUUGCAUGCGGCUCCAUCAGGUUUAUCAAAAGCAUUCAGUGCUCUGGGAGACUGAAUUCCAGCCUUACGCUGGUCAGGUUACUGUUGCAGGAGAGCACUGGUUGCUGUUGAUUUCCAAACUUCCUGCCCGGAGGAAAUAGUACUGGAAGUGAACGAUCAAUUUUUCCGACAUUAUUUUGAAGCACUUUCUUCAUUGUUUUUAGGAGUCAUAAAGGUUUCGUGAGGAGCAGAUCAUGUAACAUUUGUCUUAGUAAUAGCGGAGGAUAAACAUUUGAGAUAUCUAAUCAUGGAGAGUUAUGGUAAAGUUAAAGGAUUCACGAAAUUGGAUGAAUUGAUUGAAACAAGUAUCAGAACAUAAUCAGCUGCUUGGAGUUCUGGUGAAAAAGAUAAGGAAGAAAUCUAGACACCAAAAAUUUUAUAUGUGGUAUGGUUGUCUCCUAGGAGUACAUUAUAUAGAGUGAAAAAAUCCACUACUCGAUGAAAACAGGAGUUAGAAAGGAAACAAUUAGCAAAAACAGUGGGCUGAAAAAACAAUGUGACACCAGUUAUAAAAAAUAAAACUUUUGCAAUCAACGGCUGAUAAAAACUUUCAUGAAAAAACAACUUUCGCAAUCUACGGCUGUAAAAAAAACCAGAAAUUUGUGCACAUCGGAUUAAAAGAAAACAUGAGGUAUGACGGUUUUAAGAUAACUGCUGAUGCAGGAACAAAACAAUUUUUGCAAUCUACGGCUGUAAAGAAAAACCAUAAAUUUGCGCACAUCGAAUUAAAAGAAACAGGAACUAUUGCAGUUUGAAGAAAACAACUAAUAAAAACCGGCAUGCAGAAAAUACCUUUUGCAAUCUACAGCUGUAAAGAAAACCAGAAAUUUGCGCACAUCAGAAUAAAAGAAAACAGGAAGUGUAACCGUUUCAAGAAAACGGCUAAUAAAAACCUACAUGAGAAAACAACUUUCGUGAUCUACGACUAUAAAGAAAACCAGAAAUUUGAGCAUUUAGGAUUAAAAGAAAACAACAAGUAUAACAAUUUUAAGAAAACAGCUAAUAAAAACCUACAUCAGGAAAACAACUUUUACAAUAUACAACUAUAAAGAAAACCAGGAAUUUGCGCACAUCGGAUUAAAAAAGAGAGGAAAUAUAACAGUUUAAAGAAAACGGUUAAUAAAAACUUGCAAGAAAAAAACAACGUUUGCAAUUUACGACCGUAAAGAAAACCAGAAAUUUGCGCCCAUCAGAUUAAAAGAAAACAUGAAGUAUAACAGUUUUAAGAUAAUGACUAAUAGAAACCCGCAUAAAGAAAAUAUUUUUUUGCACUAUGGGAACCAUAAAUUUGCGCAAAUCAGAUUAAAAAAAAAAAGAAGUAUAACCAUUUUAAGAAAUGAUCGAUAGAAACCUGCAAAAAGAAAACAACUUUUGCAAUCUGCAGCUGUAAAGAUAACAUACACUUCUAUUAUUUCAUUUCUUUUGAACUAUUGUUGAAACAAUUUUCAAUUAAAUUUUAGCACUAUUUUUCAAUUGAUUCAAGUUUAUUCAAUUUUUUAGACUAAAGUUUGUAUGUUUUCUUUACUAUGUGAAAUUGUGCAUUUAAUGGAGACAAUGAUAAUACUUUAUUUCCUACUGUUAUUCAUGAAAUCCUCCUUUCUAAUUAUAAGACUUAGUCAUAAACUGAUUAAUCUGUUUAACCAAACCGUCAAAAACCGCACCGCUUGGUCCGGGUUAGUUGAUUUGCGGGUCACGGGUGGUUUGAAAUUUUAAAAAAUCGAUAAUGUAUGGUUUGGUUCCGGUUCUACCUCUAAUCCGAACCAAACCGGACCGCUAUCACUCCCGAUAAACUGUACUAUAAUUAAAUAUCGAUUACUACUGUGUACUCCUUUGUACUAGUUUUGAAAUAUAAGUCAGUUUGACUUUUUGGCACACACUUCUAAGUCUUUUGACCACAUAGUUAAAAUCAUUAUUUUCAGAAUUUUCUUUUUUUGAAUAAAAAUAUAUGAUUAAUACUAUAAUUCAGAAAAGAAAAAUUUUAAAAAUAAUGAUUUUAGCUAUUCGGUCAAAGAAUUUAGAAGUGUGUGCCAAAAAGUCAAGCGACCUAUAUUUCAAAACGGAGGGUGUAUUACAUAAGUUUCUGAUUUAAUAAACAACAUUUUUUUUAAAGUUUUACACAGGGAGUACAAUUCUUCCUAAUGUAUAUUGUCCAAAUUGCAUAGGACGAUAUUAAAGGAAAAUUUUUUGUACAUAGAAAAAAAUAGAAUAAGAAUUAUAAUAACCCUUAUUUCCAAAAAAAAAAAAGAAUUAUAAUAACCCCUAUUAUUUGAUAUAAAACCAUAAAUUAUAGUAAACUAUAAGGCUGAAGAGUGCAGCAGAAACAUGAGUCAUGUUCCUAAGUUGCUCCAUAUAAGAUCUUCAAGUACUAGUCAUUUAAAUGGUUUACUUGUUCGUCGAGUCUAAUGCUUCCUUGUCAAAUUGGCGAAAAGCCCAUGUGAAUAUAUGCCUAUAGAAAUUUUACAUAAAUAGACAAGGUUGUAGCAAGCCAGUUCUUUCAUCCAGUUAUGAUGCAUCUUUUUAACUUCGCCUCGAAAGUUAUCUCAAAAAUAAAAUUAUAGAAGGACGUUAAAAAUCGAGCAGCAUGCAUGCUGAAAAAAGGAUUGUUUUCACCCAAAUGCAAAGAAAGAAAUAAAAUCGCAAUUGUAUUUUAUGAUAUUAAACUCAUUCUUCUAUUGAAUUGCUUUGCGGGAGACUGUAAAUUACUCUACAAUGUCAUUUACAAACCAAAACGUUGAGUAUUAUACUGACAAGAAGACCUAAAAAUGAGUGUGUCUUAUACGUAACAUCAAUAUAUUGUUCCUCAUCCUCCAGUACCCCUUUCCCCUCUUUCUUGGUAUCAGACCGGACCUGCGAUUUUGCAUGCGGCUCCAUCAGGUUUAUCAAAAGCAUUCAGUGCUCUGGGAGACUGAACUCCAGCCUUAUGCUGGUCAGGUUACUGUUGCAGGAGAGCACUGGUUGCUUUAGACCCUGAACUUCCUGCCCGGAGGAAUUAGUACUGGAAGUGAACGAUCAAUUUUGCCGACAUUAUUUUGAAGCACCUUCUUCAUUGUUUUUAGUAGUCAUAAAAGUUUCGGGAGGAGCAAAUCAUGUAACCAUUGUCUUAGUAAUAGCGGAGGAUAAACAUUUGAGAUAUCUAGUCAUGGAGAGUUAUGGUAAGGUUAAAGGAUUCACGAAAUUGGAUGAAUUGAUUGAAACAAGUAUCAAAACAUAAUCAGCUGCUUGGAGUUCUAGUAAAAAAGAGAAGAAGGAAGAAAUCUAGACAUCAA